AUGGAGGAGGAGGACCAAUCGGCAGUGCUGGUCGCUGAAGGUGCCAUCAAGAGCAUAAAGCUCAGCCUCUCCACCGAGGAGGAGAUAUGUACCUACUCUAUAAAUGACUGUCCUGUUACUCAUCCUAGUCAGCUUGGGAAUCCUUUCCUUGGCUUACCACUGGAAACAGGCAAAUGCGAGUCAUGUGGUGCCACGGAAAACGGCAAAUGCGAAGGGCAUUUCGGGUUCAUUGAGCUGCCUGUACCUGUAUAUCACCCGUGUCAUGUCAGUGAGCUUAGGCAACUACUGAGCAUGGUAUGUCUGAUGUGCCUUCGUAUCAAGAAAGGAAAGGUUAAACAGAAGAAUGGAAAGGAAAAUGUGUCGGUAACGGCAUGUCAUUACUGUCGGGGUCUCCCGGCACUAUAUCUGAAGGAAAUCAAGACAGAAGAUGGUGCAUUUCGUUUAGAGUUGAGAGCACCCCCAAAGAAACACAUGACAGAACGCUCUUGGGACUUCCUAAACAAAUAUGGGGAGUUUCACCAUGGUGGAGCCUCUCACUGUAGGACAUUGCUUCCAGUAGAGGCUUUUAAUAUAUUAAAGAAGAUUCCGGAUGACACGAAAAAAAAGCUAGCUGCACGGGGAUUCAUUGCUCAGCCUGGAUAUGUAAUGAAAUAUCUUCCAGUGCCACCUAACUGCCUCUAUAUUCCAGAAUUCACAGACGGGCAGAGCAUCAUGUCCUAUGACAUCUCUAUAUCUUUGUUGAAAAAGAUACUUCAAAAGAUAGAGCAAAUAAAAAAAUCAAGAUCUGGUUCCCCAAACUUUGAGUCACAUGAUUCUGAAUCAGCUGAUCUGCAACUUUCUAUUGGCCAAUAUAUACAGCUCAGGGGAACUACAAAGGGUCCUCAAGACGCAAAGAGAUUUGCAGUUAGCACAGAUUCAUCUCAUUUGUCAACAAAGCAAUGGCUCGAAAAGAUGAAAACACUUUUUAUCAGCAAAGGAUCAGGAUUUUCAUCACGCAGUGUACUUACUGGAGACCCGUAUAUUGGAGCAGAUGUAGUUGGACUGCCUUCUGAAGUGGCAAAAAGAAUUACUUUUGAAGAACAGGUUACAGAUAUCAACAUAAAUAGAUUGCAAGAGGUUGUUGACAAGGGAUUGUGUUUGACUUAUAGAGAUGGUCAAACAACAUAUGCAAUCACUGUAGGAUCAAAAGGAUAUACCACUCUUAAAGUGGGUCAAACGAUCAGUAGAAGAAUCGUUGAUGGUGAUGUUGUGUUCCUUAACAGGCCACCUAGUACUCACAAGCAUUCUCUCCAGGCAUUUACUGUAUACAUCCACGAUGAUCAUACCGUCAAAAUCAACCCCCUUAUAUGCUCUCCUCUUGCAGCAGAUUUUGAUGGUGAUUGUGUGCAUAUUUAUUAUCCUCAGUCACUUGCUGCUAAAGCGGAAGCAUUGGAACUUUUCAGUGUGGAGAAGCAACUGACUAACUCACACAACGGAAAAGUAAAUCUCCAGCUAGCGAAUGACAGCUUGCUUGCUCUGAAGCACAUGUCUUCUAGAACCAUGUUAAGCAAAGAAUCAGCAAACCAGCUGGCAAUGCUCCUGUCGCUUUCUCUUCCUCCCCCUGCUGUGGUCAAGUCUAAGCCAUGCUGGACAAUCGCACAAAUAAUGCAAAGUGCGUUGCCAGCAGAAUUGACUUGUGAAGGGGAUAGAUUCCUAGUUAGGGACAGCACUGUUAUAAAACUGGAUAUUGACAAAGAAUCCGUUCAGGCCUCGUUUUCGGACUUGGUGUCCUCCAUUCUUGCUGUUAAGGGACCAGGAGAUGCGCUCAAGUUUUUGAAUGCGCUGCAACCCCUUCUGAUGGAAUUCUUGCUUCUGGAUGGCUUUAGUGUAAGCCUGCAAGAUUUUAGUGUACCCAAGCCUUUGUUGGAAGAAGCACAGGAGUGUAUUAAAAAGCAGUCUCUUGUACUGGAGCAGUCAAGGUGCUCGAGUAGCCAGUCUGUGGAAACAAGAGUUGACAACAAUCUGAAGGAUGUCAAACAACAAAUUGCAGAUUUUGUCGUGAAAUCCUCUCGUCUUGGUCUUCUAAUUGACCCAAAGAGUGACUCUUCAGUGUCAAAAGUUGUUCAACAGCUUGCUUUUGUUGGUCCGCAGCUCUACCGCGAGGGGAAGUUCUAUUCAAGGCGUCUGGUGGACGAUUGCUUCUCAAGUUUUGUCAAUAGACACCCACCGAUUGAAGAUGGAGUUCAACACCCACCAGAGGCGUAUGGUCUUGUGCAAAGUGCAUAUUUUCAUGGUCUCAAUCCUUAUGAGGAGCUAGUACAUUCUAUAUGUACAAGAGAAACUAUUGUCCGCUCCUCAAGAGGGUUGACAGAACCAGGAACUCUGUUCAAGAGUCUAAUGGCCAUCUUGCGAGACGUAGUUAUAUGCUAUGAUGGAACUGUGAGAAACAUCUGCAGCAAUUCAAUCAUGCAGCUGAAGUACAAAGAAGAAGAUGACACAGAUUUUCCAAGUGCUAUAGCUCCUGGAGAACCGGUGGGUGUCUUAGCUGCCACUGCUAUCUCCAACCCUGCUUAUAAGACUGUCUUGGACUCUUCUCAGAGUAAUAAUACUUCAUGGGAGUUGAUGAAGGAAAUACUUAAGACAAAAGUUAGCUAUAAAAAUGAUGCGAAGGAUCGAAAAGUUAUCCUGUUCCUGAAUGACUGCUCUUGCCCCAAGAAAUUUUGCAAAGAGAAGGCUGCUAUUGCAGUGCAGGGUUGCCUAAAGAGAGUCACACUAGAGGAUUGUGCCACUGACAUCUGCAUCGAGUAUAAGAAACAAGUUAGUUUAGAUGCAAUUUCAGAAGCCACGCCAGCAUUUGUUGGCCAUAUUCAUCUUGAAAAGGCACAUUUAGAAAAGAUAAACGUUAGCACUGAUGAGAUUCUUCAGAAAUGCCAAGAAGUUUCUGGGAAACAUGCCAAUAAGAAAGGAACUCUUGGUCACCUGUUUAAAAAGAUUACUUUCUCUACUUGUGAUUGUUCAUUUGCGCAGAAGCCGGGUGAUGGGAAGGUUCCAUGUUUGCAGUUCUCUUUUUCUGAGGACAUCCCUAUGUUAUCUGAUUCCGUUGAGAAAGCAGUGAAUGUGUUAGCCGAUUCUCUCUGUGGUGUGCUUCUGGAGAUAAUCAUAAAAGGUGAUCCUCGAGUUCAAGAGGCUAAAAUUACGUGGGUUGGGUCUGAUGCAACGUCUUGGGUUAAACAUACAAAGAAGAUAUCAAAGGGUGAGCCAGCAGUAGAAAUUAUUGUUGAGAAAAAGGAAGCUAUGCAGAACGGUGAUGCAUGGAGAAUUGCCAUGGAUGCAUGUAUACCAGUCAUGAACCUCAUUGACACACAAAGGUCAAUUCCUUAUGGUAUUCAGCAAGUGCGAGAACUUCUUGGCAUAUCAUGCUCCUUUGAUCAAGUUGUUCAGCGCCUUUCGAAAACCAUGAAGACGGUUGCUAAAGGAAUUCUGAAGGACCAUUUGGUUCUUGUGGCAAACAGCAUGACAUGCACUGGGAACUUGAAUGGGUUCCACAAUGGUGGUUACAGGGCGACCUUUCGUUCAUUAAAAGUUCAAGUACCUUUUACAGAGGCCACCUUGCUUACCCCUAUGAAAUGCUUCGAGAAGGCUGCUGAGAAAUGCCAUUCUGAUUCAUUGGGUUCUGUGGUCUCAUCCUGUUCGUGGGGCAAGCAUGCAGCACUUGGUACUGGGUCAUCUUUUCAGAUUCUUUGGAACGAAAAUCAGCUGAAAAGCAACAAGGAAUAUGGUGAUGGCCUGUAUGAUUUCCUGGCCUUGGUGAGGACCGACCAAGAAAAGGCUGCUUACACAUUCUUGGAUGAUGUGGACUACCUUGUUGAAGACAACGCAAUGGAUGAUAUUUGCUUAUCACCAGAAAUGGAUGGGACCCAUGGUAUGCCCACUUUUGAAGAUGAUCCUGAACAGCAAAAUACUGAGAAGGACAGCUCAUGGGAAAAUGGCACAACGGCGGGUGCAAGCUGGGAACGAAAUGCAAAUGCUGGGAAUGAUUCUGGUAACUGGGGAGGAGGCUCAACAGUGGAGAAUGAUUCCACUGAUUGGGCAGGCUGGGGCACUGGACCUGCAAAUGACAAAAAGAUUGUAUCCGGAGAACCAGCUGAACCCGACACUUGGGCUGACCAGGGUGCUAAAAAGGAUACGGAAGGAGGCUGGAAUAAUGCAGCUGCAGCUGCUGACACAGGAGCUGCAAAACCAGCAGAGCAAGACAAGUCAUGUUGGAAUGCGCCCCCAGCAGUGGAGAAUGAUUCCUCUGGUUGGGGAGGCUGGGGCACUGGAAACGCAAAGGACAAAAAUAUUGCAUCUGAAGGAUCAGCUGAAGUCGAUACUUGGGCUGAUCAGAGUGGUAAAAGGGAUACUGAUGGAGGUGGUGCUAACUGGGACAAAAUGAAAGUGAAGGAUCACAAUAUGCAGCAAGACCAAUGGGGUCAUGUGCCAUCCCAGAAUGUUGAUGCACAGGAUGAUCCAUGGGGGAGUGUAGCAGGUGUGGCUCAACCUUCUACCGCAAAGCAUAUUGAUGCACAGAAUGAUUCCUGGGGGAGCGUGGCAGCGAAAGCUCAAACUUCUACUGCAGAGCCUAUGGACGCAGGGAAUGGUUCCUGGGGGAGUGUGGCAGCGAAGGCUCAGACUUAUACUGCACAGCAGGAGUCCUGGGGUAAUGUGUCUGCUUCACCAUCAGAUAAUGCGUGGGGUGCUGCUCCAGUUUCCCAGGGACCUGAUAACUCGGAUGCAAAGCAGCCAGAUUCUUGGGAUGGCUGGGGUUCUGCUGCUCCAGUUUCCCAGGGACCUGAUAACUCGGAUGCAAAGCAGCCAGAUUCUUGGGAUGGCUGGGGUUCUGCUGCUCCAGUUUCCCAGGGAGAUAAUUCAGAUGCAAAGCAGCCAGAUUCUUGGGAUGGCUGGGGUUCUGCUCAAGCCGAUGACUCGAGUACUGAUAAAUGGAAGACCAAUGCUUCUGGCAACAACAAAGGCUGGAAAUCAGAUGGAUGGGAGGCCAAAGAAAACCGGAGGGACCAAAGAGACAAUCCAGGCAGGCCUCCAAUAAGACCUCCUGUUGAGAGGCCACCAAGGCCACGGUACGAACUGCCAGCUGAGGCGAAAAAGGUUCUACAAGAAAUUGAACCCAUUGUAACAAUGGUCAGAAAGAUCUUCCGUGAAUCAAGUGAUGGCAUAAGGCUUCCCCUGGAGGACGAAAAGUUUAUCAUAGAAAAAGUUCUGGAGCACCACCCUGAAAAGGAAAAGAAGGUGUCUGGUGAAAUUGAUCAUAUAAUGGUCAACAAGCACCACGUUUUCCAGGACAGCCGGUGCUUCUAUGUUGUGUCAUCAGAUGGGACCCAAACAGACUUCUCCUACAUCAAGUGCAUGGACAACUACGUGAGGAAGAACCACGAGGAGCACGCCGAGCUCAUCUGCGAGAUGCACUUCAAGAAGCGCAACCGCGAUCGACCACCAACGGUCGACGGAGCCGCGGCACCAGCCACUGAAGCCGGGGCGUCUCAGCCGGCUCCGGGUGAGGACUUGGAAGCCGCUCUGCCAGGCCCACCGCCAGGAACUCCACCUCCUACAGCGAUCACCCAGCACGAGACUCCAGCUUCUCCGGCUGCGGCUCCAGAAGAUGAUCUGCCUCUGCCUCCUCCCCCUCCACUGACCCAGCAUGAGGAUGGAACGCCAGAAGAUGAUCUGCCGCUGCCUCCUCCUCCUCCACUGCCCCAGCAGGAGGCUGGAACGCCAGGUUCAGCGGCAGCGGCAGGAGCCGUCGAUGACAAGUGGGCAGGGGCCGGCGAUGACAAGUGGGCGGGAGGCGCCGAUGACAAGUGGGUCUAG
rnacentral:rRNA from 1 species